GGGGAUGUGUUUUAGUGGUAAAAUUUAUCUUUCGCACGCAGCGGACGAAUCUAGAUGAGCCCUGGGUUCGAUUCCCAGCAUCUCCA